rnacentral:rRNA from 1 species
CAGUCGCCACGGUAAAACGUAGGUGGCGAGCGUUGUCCGGAAUUAUUGGGCGUAAAGGGAGCGCAGGCGGACAUAUAAGUCCAUCUUUAAAGUGCGGGGCUCAACCCCGUGAGGGGAUGGAAACUGUAUGCCUUGAGUGCAGGAGAGGAAAGCGGAAUUCCCAGUGUAGCGGUGAAAUGCGUAGAUAUUGGGAGGAACACCAGUGGCGAAGGCGGCUUUCUGGACUGCAACUGACGCUGAGGCUCGAAAGCCAGGGGAGCGAACGGGAUUAGAUACCCGUGUAGUCCCUGUCUCUAUACAC